rnacentral:rRNA from 1 species
AUUGAACGCUGGCGGCAGGCUUAACACAUGCAAGUCGAGCGGAGACUUCGGUCUUAGCGGCGAACGGGUGAGUAAUACCUAGGAAUCUGCCUAUUAGUGGGGGAUAACGAAUCGAAAGGUUCGCUAAUACCGCAUACGUCCUACGGGAGAAAGGGGGGAGUCUUCGGACCUCUCGCUAAUAGAUGAGCCUAGGCCGGAUUAGCUAGUUGGUAGGGUAAAGGCCUACCAAGGCGACGAUCUGUAGCUGGUCUGAGAGGAUGGCCAGCCACACUGGAACUGAGACACGGUCCAGACUCCUACGGGAGGCAGCAGUGGGGAAUAUUGGACAAUGGGGGCAACCCUGAUCCAGCCAUGCCGCGUGUGUGAAGAAGGCCUUCGGUUGUAAGACACUUAAGCGAGGAGGAAGGUUUUAGUUUAA